rnacentral:rRNA from 1 species
CACGUAGGGGGCAAGCGUUGUCCGGAUUCAUUGGGCGUAAAGAGCUCGUAGGCGGCUCGUCGCGUCGACCGUGAAAACCCGCGGCUUAACUGCGGGCUUGCGGUUGAUACGGGCGGGCUAGAGUUCGGUAGGGGAGACUGGAAUUCCUGGUGUAGCGGUGAAAUGCGCAGAUAUCAGGAGGAACACCGGUGGCGAAGGCGGGUCUCUGGGCCGAUACUGACGCUGAGGAGCGAAAGCGUGGGGAGCGAACAGG